GUCUCCAACCUUGCCACCCUGAACAAGCCUGAUCCCGUGUGAUCUCGGAAUUUAAGCAGGAUUGGGCCUGGUUAGUACUUGGAUGGGAGACCACCUAGGAAGACCAGGUGCUGUAGGCA
rnacentral:rRNA from 1 species